GUGUCUGGCUUUCCAUCUGAUGGUGGAUUCCUAGAGGGGGCAGCCAGGCCAUUCUGAUCACCAAGUAUCUGUGUGUCGGACCCAUAGUACAAGUCAGGCUCAAGCUGGGAGUCCCCAGAAGCAGAUGCUAAGAAAGGAUUCAAGUCGCUCAUUUGGGAGGUGAUCUCAGAAUGUAAGGGAGCAGGGGCGUGAGACAGGGAAGGGAAGGCAGCCUGUACAGAAAGAUGUUUUGAGCAGGUCACUGCCGUGGGCACCUGGAACUCAGUCCCACUCGGGACUCGGGCUAGAACAUGCCUCCAAAUUAUUCCCACCAGGCGACAAGGAUACUGGGAACUUUAUCCACCAACUCUGUGGCCAGGUCGGCUAAAGGCCACUGCCAGGGCAUGGACUCUCAGGUUCUUCCCACUUGUCCUGCAGGGGCUCAGCAGAGAGAUACAGGCCCUGGUGAGUGCACAGGGGCCGCCUGCUGUGCUGCAGAGCGCAGUCCAUAUUUGAGUAAAUGAACAGCUGCUCACCAGUAGAACAGCGGAGGUAGAGAAGCCUCUGAGUACCUUUGGGCACCACGACCUCUUGAAUUUUUGGCAAAUCUGUAGUGGGUUAGCCUUUGCUCCAGUCUCUUGGUUUCUGUGUGGAAGGUUCUGGAAGUUUGCCCUGCCAUCCCAGGACGCUGGGGCUCACUACAUCCUGGCAAUUUGGAGAGGAGAAAUUUGGAGUUUUCUCUAGGAAGCCUUUUCCUCAACAGCCUGUAAUCCUUUAUCGGUAUUCAGUCCUUCCUCAGACCGAAGGACGGAUGGACAAGCAGCCUGAUGGUGUGGGCCCUGAAUUCCAGGAGCAAAACCCUUCUCUCCUUCCCCCCGCCGGGGAAAACUGGACCAUGUCUGAAUGGCACCGUGCUCUCCGCCCACCACCCGGAAACUGGCCUCGCUGGCAAUAGGCGGGAGGGGAGGAAGGCAGAGCUGUUAGAACAUGUCCCCAGAUGCCUCAGCAGCAGGGCAGGUAGUCGGGGUGAGCUGUAGGAACGGAAUGACGUGAGUUUCCCCUUGAUGAAAAUCCCCUGGCCCUGCUAAUGGGCUGUGCAGACAGAGAGGGCGAGGGGUAUAAAGAUGCCGUGGGCAGAGGGACGCCUUCCAGCCCAGGAAACCAAAGAAUCCCGCCCAUUACCUGGAAGCUGCAAGGCCUCCUGCCUCCUGUGGGCGUCAGAGGCACUUUCCAAGAUAGGAAAGCCUCCACCUCCUUUCCCAGGCAGCUGCUUCUGGAGGCCAAGUGGAGGAAUGGGUCGUUUGGGGGUCUCACUGUUCGGCCAUAGGGCUUCAUCAACUCUGCCCAGAAUUUGAGCUGGCGUUAUCAGAGGAGACCUGGACCAGAGAGGGAAGGCCACUUGCCUGAGGCCACACAACAGGGGAGAAGCAGAGCUGGUAUUUGACCUGAGGAGCCCGGAUCCUACCCCACCCAACCUCAUUUCUUAGAAGUUUCCAGCUUGAGGUGUUGAUGGACUUCCUCCUGCUCAGCCAGGACAUCAGGUGGGGUCAUCUAUCCCAACUCUUCUUCUAAGGCUGAGACAGUCUUUCUCAUUUCUCAGGAACUCCCAACAUGCUGGAAAUAGCAGAGAAGACUGCAGCUGUAGGGUAUGACAAGGAGUGAACUCCAGCUCUGGGCCCUGCCACUGGGCAGCUGUGCACUCUGGGGAAGACCCCAGCCUCUCCACUUCAGUGUCCUUGUCCAGUAACAGUGUGGCCAGGCCAGUUGUCCUGCAGUUCCCUAAGGAGCUGUGUUUGGAAUGUCUGACACCUCAAGAAAAAUCGGGCAUUGCUCCCACAAAGGGGAAAUUUCUGGGAUGCAGGCAGAAAUUUGUGCCACUGGUGUUAGGAGGAAGUGGCCUACUGGGUGCAAACUUUGGAGUCCGUUCUGGGGUUCCAAGUUCAAAUCCUGGAUCUGCAAUUAGCAACUAUGUGACCCUGAGUAAGUCACUUCCCUCCUUGUAGUUUUCAGGCACCUUCCUGGGGUCGAAAGGGGACCCAUUUGUUUGUUCGUUCUUUUUUCAACCCGUGUGCGCUGAGCCCUUCUUCUUCAGGCCGUUUCUAGAUGCUGGUGACUGACGGUGAACAAGGUCUGGAGCCAGACGAUAAAGAAGCAGACAAAGGUGUCGCACGUGGGGUGACAGUAAUACACACAUGACAAACUGAAGCAGGUGGGGGCUUCAGAGUGGCGGAAGGGAGAGGCAGGUGGGCAGGAAGACCACUCUGAUGAGGGGACAUCCAGGUGUGAUGUGCAGCCUGAGGUGUGACUUUCUGGAGCAGCUGAACCUGGGACCCCUCAUUCCCCAGAAAAAUAAACUCAGAUCAGGAAUGUCACGGUGGCCAGCUCUGUGUCCCAGGCCCCAGCUUUGGGAUGGCUGGGGGAGGUAUCCACCUCUCUCCAUCCACCAUCAUCUCCUGCCUGGACUAGUGCAGUAGCCCUUCCCUUCUUGGUCCCUUGCUCCCAUCCUGGCCUUCUCCAGUCUGUCCUCCCCUCAGCAUCUCUCUUAGUCCCUCUUGCUGCCAAAACCAAAAACUACAAACUUAGUAGCUUAAAACAACCCUCGUUUCUUCUUUUUCAGUUGUGGAAGUCAGAAGGCAAGCUGUUGGCAGACUGCUUCUGGGGGCUCCACGGGAAGAUCGGUUUCCUCGCCUGUUUCUGCUUCCAGUAGUUGCCUGCAUCUCUCGGUUUACGGCCCCUUUCUCCACUUUCAAGGCAUGUCGCUCCAAUCUCUGCUUCUGUCAUUUUUUCUUCUCUCUGUAGUCAGAUCUCCCUCUGCUCUCGUCUUAUAAAGACUACGGUGAUGACAUUGGCCCGAAUAACUCAAGGUAACCUUUUUAUUUAAGAGCCUUAACUAAUCACAGUUGCAAACUUACUUUUGCCAUAUUAAUCUUCACAGAUUCUGGGGAUUGAGACGUGGACAUCUUUGGGGGGAGGUACUGUUCAGCUAACCAAAGCAUCCAAAGAGAUCCUGUUAGAAUCUAAAUCAGCUGGCCCUGGUGGCUCAAGCCUGGCGGGAAGAUCACUUGAGCUCAGGAAUUCGAGACCAGCCUGAGCAAGAGCAAGACCCCCAUCUCUAUUAAAACAGAAAAAAAAUUAACCAGGCGUUGUGGUGGGCACCUAUAGUCCCAGCUACUUGGGAAGCUGAGGCAUGAGGAUUGCUUGAGCACAAGAGUUUGAAGUUGCUGUGAGAUGUGAUGAUGCCACAACACUCAAUUCCAGGGUGACAAAGUGAGACUUUGUCUCAAAAGAAAAAAAAAAAAUAGAACCUAAAUCAGACCUGGUGCCUCCUCUGCUCAAAAUCCCACCAUGGCUCCCACUAGCCUGCACACUGAUCGCUCCAAUCUCAUCUGCUUCUCUCUUCCACCCUCAUUUGGCUGCAGUCACUGGGCUCCUGGCUGUGCUUCAACGCACCAGGCGAGCGCCUGUCUCAGAGCUUUUGCACAUGCUGUUCCUCUGCCUGGAACUGCCUUCCCCAGGCUGGUCCCUCCUCAUCCUGCUAGCCUCAUCUCAGAGGCGGCCUGCUGGAGAUCGCCUUCUCUGGAGGGGCUUUCCCCCUCUCCACGGUUGCAUUGGGUACAGUCUAAAAUGAUAUUGUUUGUGUAUUUAUUUUCUUAUUUUUUGUCUGCCUUCCCCAUUAGAAUGUCAACUCCAAAGAUGCAGCAGGGGCUGGGCCUGCUGGCUUCUCUGCUAAAUCUCCAGGACCAAGGACAGGGCCUGGUACAUAGUAGGUGCUCAGAACAUACUUGUUCCAUGAGUCCUUGUGUGGUCAAAUGUCCCUGAGUGCUGCUGCAAAUAACAUACAGGUUUAUGUAAAGGCAUUCCCACAUACCUAGUGACUUGUGGGGUUGAUCCCUUUUCUCAGUGAUCAAAGCACUGUCCUCGUGCACCGGAAGGCGGUGAAACAUUGUCUGCAUUGAGCAAUUGAGGACUUGGAAGGGGCUGCGACGGAGGCAGGAGUCCCUUAAGGUGAGUGCUACCAGGAUUGGCAGUGGGGUCUCAUGAUGACAAGCAGGGGUGUGAAGUGGGUCUCUUGGGCAAGUGGCACCCUUUCCCUGUGCCUCAGUUUCCAUAUCUAUAAGAUGGCGAUAACAGAUUUAGCUCCUGGCAGGGUUCUCAGCCUCGGUGCUCUUGACAUUAGGGCCAGACCAUUCUCCACUGUGAGGUUGUCCUGUGCAUUGUGCAGCAGCGAGCAGCACCUCUGAUUUCCAGUAGCUUCUCUCUAGUUGUGACAACCCAACAUGUCCCCACAUACAGCCAGCGCUUCCUGGGGGGCAAGAUCGCCCCCUGCCGAGAUCCGCGGCCCAGCGGCCUUAUGCUGGUGGUUGAAGGAGAUGACUCGUGGCACAUCAGCUGGCGCAGCGGGGCGCUCAGGUGCUCUGGAAAUCAUGGCUGCUCUCUGGUUAACUGGGCGACCGGCCCUGCCACUCCAGAGCAGGUGGCCUUGGGUGAGUGACUCCAGCUCUCGGAGUCUCAGCGUUUUCAUCUGUAAAAUGAGAUAAUAACAGCAUCUAACCUCUUGGGACUGUUGGAAGGGUUAAGUAAAUGAAUCCUGUGGCGUUCUCAGGACUGUGCCUGGCCGGCAGUAAGUGCUCAGUGAAGGGGAAUUCUGAGAAUGAGGAUCAGGGCGAUGAGGCCCCCUGGGAAAAAUGGGGGCAAGACAAGAGGGGUCUUUACCUCUUCACCUUUCCAAAUGCUACCUGUGGUCUCAUGGGCCCUGCACUCGUGGAGGACACACGGACACAGCUGUCCCCACCCAGCAGGGCAGCUGGCUCAGUCCCUCGACCCCGUCAGGCCAUUUAAUAAUUAAGCAGGACAAGGGGUGAUGUGGCUGGAAGGCCAGGAGUGACCAGGGCCUGGCCUUGCUGGGCUUUGGUGACGUGAUGGCCCUGGGAUCAUGGCCUUCUUGAGCCCAUAAACAGGAGGUUGGGCCUCAAGAUAGGCAAGGCCGGGCCAAGGUCUGUGCUGGUAGCCUCACGCUGGACUCAUGCAGGGAGUGGGAAGAGGGGUGCACUAAGGCGACAGGAAAGGGGGGCAACUCUAACCCCCACCUCACUCUCCUUGAGGCCCUCUCAAUUUCCCCUCACUGAGGACUUACUGUGUGCAGAGCAGGGCUCUGCCACGGCACUUUGCGCAGAGUGACACCCUUCUCCCAUCAUGGGGGGCUCUGUCCCCUCUCCAAAUGAGCCAGGGCCUAUUUCUAUGACUCUCAUUGCCUAGACGAUGGGUGGGAGGCUUCCAGAGGGGAGUCACUAGCUCAUGGGGCAAAGCCAGACCCAGUCCCCAGCCCAGGUCUGGGGUCCCUGAAGCACCUGCUCUCAGCCUGCACCACUGCCACGGACAUUGACUCCUCUCUCUGUGCGUCCUCACCCCUCUCUCCCUCUCCUUCUCUCCCUCUCUCUUUCUCUGAAAAUCUUCCUAUUUGUGUUUCUGUCUGGGCUCUCUCUGCUCUUCUGUCUCAGUCUCUCUUUUUCAUGUUAGCCAUCUCUCUCCUUCCUCUGCUUCCUGCCCCGGGUCUCUCCCUCUGUCUCCCGUUGCCUUUUUCUCUCUCUCUCCCCUCCUCUGCCCGCCAGCCUCCCUCUGACUGCCCUGCCUCAUGGCCCUGUCUCUCUGCAGUCAGUUCUUGUCCCAGAGCCAGCACAUUAUGUCCCUGGUCAGACCCUGACGUCAGGCGGGCCUGGCAGGCAGCCAUGGGACACUGCCGGGCAGGCGGGAGGGAGUGCUGGGCUUCCCGGUCCCCACUGUAGUGGCCGCCUGCCUGCCGCCUGGCCCGGCCUGCCUGCCCUCACAGCAGGGCUUUGGAUCUCUUAGCCUGGCCUCAGCUGGCUGGAGGGGGGAGGGCAGGCACUAGGUGGCUACUCAGCCUGCAAGCCAGCGUUGCAGCCUCUCUGCUCACCUUUCCCCUUCCCCCACAGCCAAAGAGACUUGGUCCCAGAGGGGAGACAGUACAGCGGGGAGCUGAGUCCUGGCUGUGUGACCUGAGACAAGUCACUCAGCCUCUCUGAGCCUCAUUUCCCUGGAAACUAAGGCUACUGAGCAUCUGCCUCUCUGGUCUGUAGGGAAGAUCAAUCCACAAAGUGGCUUGCGCAAGCCCACCGCAGGUGCUCAGGCUCUCCAGAGUCUAAACAAACAGUUUUCCUGGCAGAAGUGGGGCUAGGGGUCUGCAUGUCAUAGUGACAGGUCAGCCUCACUGGGGUUUAGUGGGCGGGGAUGUGGCAUGGGGGACAGCCAGGCAGAAGGAGCUCUCCACCCAAAAUACAAAGAGUGCUCUGCCGAGAAACCCUCCCCAAGCCUGGCUGGUCUCAGACCCCAUCAGGGCUUCAAUAAGUGGUUUAAAAAAUGUCAUAUUUCUUGUUGAGUUUGUUUGUUUUCCCCCCUCCGAUUUUCCAAGCAAUGUCAUUUCCUUGAAGGAUAUUUGGAGGGCACCUGAUCAGCCUGGUUUAAAAACAGACUUUAGGAUCAGACAGAUGUGGGGCAAAUGCAGCUGAGUGGCCUGAGGCCAGUGACUUCGCCCUCUGAGCCUCAGUUUCCUCAUCUGUCAAAUGAAAAUAAGACAUGAGAGGGCGGUGAAGAGGAUGAAGCAAAAACACAUUGGUAAAGCACGCAGGAUGGGGUCUCGCCAUGGUAAGUGCUCUAUAUACGGUAGCCUUUUUAACUUUUAAAAAUCCUCCUUAUUUUAAAUAUAGAAGAUACAGAAAAGUACAAAGAAACAAAACAAAAGGUUCCCCGGAGAGAAUCACUCUAAGAUGUUGGUGGGAAUUCUGCUCAGCUACCAUAUUUAUAUGGCGAGCCUACCGUUGCCUGUGUUCUCAUUGUUCAUGGUCAUAAAACUUAACUUGAAGUUUCAUUUUAAAAUAUCUUUAUUAUUAUUUUCUGAACACAUACAUAUUCUAAAGGUUCAAAAGGCAUCCCGUGAGAAUUCUGAGGUUCCCUCGCACCCCAACUUGUGGAAGCAAAUCCAGUCACCUGUUUCUUCUGCAUCCUCGCUUCCCUGGUUUUACAUCAUCUUCAGACACAGGACUAACAAUCUCCCCCUCUCACUGGCCCACCCUCAUUGUGUUGUUUUUUUAAAAUUCACUCAAUUAGAAAGCGUGAUGUUAUAAAAAAAAAUGAGAACCUACAGACAAUCCAGAGAAAGGGGGGCAUAUGGGGGGUGGAGUCACCUGAAAUCUUUACUCCUUGUAUAUUCUGGAGCACGUCUCCAUGGGCUUUUCUCAACUCUUGAUGUGAACAUUAUUGUAGCACCAGGUAUCUUUCCCUAGCACCAAUCAAGUUCAUGAUGACACGUCUGUGCCUGUAUCUGAUCAUUAUCGGCCUUCCCCACUGUGCAGAAAGUGCCAGGAGUCAGCCACAGCCACUGUCUGGGUCUUCCAUAGCCAGUGGUGCGUCGGCACAUAGUUGAUCCAUAAUGGAUAUUUUCUGAAUGAAUGAGUGAAUUUUCAAAAGGGAUCAUGCCAUGUAAUACUAUCCAGUGACCUAUUUUUUUUUUUUUCCACUUAAUAUGUUGGGUACAUCUUUCCACAUCUCUGUGCAGCGAAUCCCCAUUUUUCAUGUCUGCACAGAGUCACCACAAUAAACAUCUUUUGAUGUUGGCCAGAAGCUUCUUCUGCCCCUCACUGGGAAACUCUUUUUCAAACACAGAUCUGUUAACAAAUGCCAUAUGAUCCACCCGCGCCCCAGCCCUUUGGAUGAUUACUCUCAGCCUGACACUUCAUUGGUUACAUGAGCCCAUUGUUUUCUGGGACAAGUCAAGAUUUACUGUCUGUCCCUGACAUCAUGUUUUUCCAGAGAAGCUUAAGAGUGAAGAACUCGACCCUCCCCACCCACUGUUUCCACCAGUUAAAGGUUCUGCAGAUUUGCUGAAGUUGGGAAACUUGCUGUAACCCUUGCCUCCCUGGAGACCGCACCUGAAGAAGCUCACACCAAGCUCAUUUCUACCUCAGAGCCUUUGCACUGGCUGUUCCCUCUGACUAGGGAACCCUUGAAUACGCUUCCCUUGAAUAUUUGCUCAGCUUUUCAGGUCUCUCCUCCAAUGUUACCUUCUCAGAGAGGCAUCCGAGGCCAGGCACGGUAGCUCACACCUAUAAUCCUAGCAUUCUGGGAAGCUGAGGUAGGAGGACCUCUGGAGGACAAGAGUUGAAGAUCAGAGAGGCCUCCUCAACUACCUUUCUAAAUGAGCACCCUAUGCUGCUUAUCUGGUUUCAUAUCUCCUCAUAAGACAUUUGCCACUGCCUGCCAUUGUGUUACAUUACGUCGUGUUAUAUUAUUAUAUUUGGCUUUCUUAUUGAUUGUCUAUCUCCUCCACCAUGAGGACAGAAGAGUCUUGGGCCUCUGUUUUCUUCCCCACAGUAAUCUCCAGCACCUAAAAUAGGACCUGGAGGGCUGUCAGUGCUCAGGAAAUACUGGUUGUAUCAAUAAAUCUGAACUCUAGGACUCCAAGGCUGAUGGCCAAUGCCAUCACUCAUUUAUUCAAUACCUAUUAUUGAGCAUCUACUGUGCUCCAGGGUCUAUCUGGCCGUGGAUGGGCAGACUUGGCCCUCCUCUGGAAGGAGGUGGUCAGUGGCAAUGGAGACGCACAUGCAUCAGAUGACGACAUCCACGGUGAUGUGCAGCUCAGGCAGCAGCGUGAGGACAAAUCUUGGAAUCUGUGAUGUGGGUCCCUUGCAGACCUGGGUAAACCACACAAGCGACUUCAAUGGGAAUAGUAUUUCUCCCUGCUAUUCUGUCACCAUAAGUGGAGGAGAAAUAAAAAAGUGAUACUAGCACUCUUCUGAGCCCACUUAGGUCUUUGCAUGCGGAGCCUACUUUCUGGCUGCCCUGUACCUGGUGUAUACUCCUCAGGGAAUUUCCUGGUACAGAAAGGGCAAGAAAACUUGUCUUCCCAGACUCAAUUGUAGUGUAGGUAUAGGCCUGUGCCUGACAUCCAAUUAGAGGAGAACAAGAAGACAAGAGAGGUCUGGAAGAAAAUCUGGUUCCAAAGAAUGUGGUAGGAGGGUCCUUGGUGGAAGGCAGCCUGCACUGUAAUAAGGCUCAUGGGCCCCACAAAGCUCAGGCCUUGCUCAUGGCUAUGUAGUCUCCAGUCCUGGCCCUGAGAAUCCCCCCUGAAGAUUCCACAAACCACUCAAUAAUCUUUAAUAAACUCCUUUUCUGUGUAAACUAGCCAGAGUGGUGGAUUCUGUUGUUUGCAACUAAGACCCCAUUGGCCAUGUGACAUGGACACCUAGCUGCAAGAGAGUCUGGGAAAUAAGUUUUCCCCUCCCCGGGUGGCCAUAUGGCUAGCAAAAGCUCAUAAUUUCUAUUGUUAAGAAAAAGGGAGAGAUCAGAGAAUUAAGAGGAAACAGGGAUCCUGUCACAAUAGGCAAUAAUUUAAAAUAAUAUCAACUAAGAUUUUGUAAUUAUAUAAAAAAAUGUAAUUUUGUUGAGAACAGCAGGGUUUGAAAUUGUGUCUGGAGUAUGACUGCCACUUUGUAUUAUAAUACAAUUUCAAA